GAUGAACGCUUGGCGGCGUGGAUAAGGCAUGCAAGUCGCAUGGGUUUAGACCCAUGGCAAACGGGUUAGUAACGCGUAGGAACGUGCCCUCAAGUCAUGAAUAACCCGGAGAAAUCCGGGAUAAUACAUGAUGUGCUCUACGGAGUAAAGGUUUACCGCUUGAGGAGCGGCCUGCGUCCUAUCAGCUUGUUGGUAAGGUAAUGGCUUACCAAGGCUAUGACGGGUAGGGGGUGUGAGAGCAUGACCCCCAACAUUGGAACUGAGACACUGUCCAAACUCCUACGGGAGGCUGCAGUCGAGAAUAUUCCACAAUGGACGAAAGUCUGAUGGAGCGACGCCGCGUGCAGGAUGACGGCCUUCGGGUUGUAAACUGCUUUUUUUAGGGAACAAAUUUUUGAGCUUACCUAAAGAAUAAGAGGUUACUAACUCUGUGCCAGCAGUAGCGGUAAUACAGAGACCUCGAGCGUUAUCCGGAUUUAUUGGGCGUAAAGCGCAUGUAGGCGGACAUAUUAGUCAGGUGUCAAAUUUUCGGGCUCAACCCGAAAACUGCACUUGAAACGGUAUGUCUAGAGAGAGUAAGAGAUCAGUGGAACUCAUGGUGUAGUAGUGAAAUGCGUUGAUAUCAUGAGGAACACCAAAGGCGAAGGCAUCUGAUUGGUGCUCUUCUGACGCUGAGAUGCGAAAGCGUGGGUAGCGAAUGGGAUUAGAUACCCCAGUAGUCCACGCCGUAAACGCUGCAUACUAGAUGUGAGAAGUAUCGACCCUUCUCGUGUCGUAGCUAACGCGUUAAGUAUGCCGCCUGGGAAGUACGGCCGCAAGGCUAAAACUCAAAGGAAUAGACGGGGAUCCGCACAAGUGGUGGAGCAUGUGGUUUAAUUCGAUAAUAAGCGAGGCACCUCACCAGGACUUGACAACUAGCUGCAAGCUUCAGAGAUGAAGCCGCCUUCGAGGGUGCUAGUCAGGCGCUGCAUGGUUGUCGUCAGCUCGUGCCGUAAGGUGUUCCCUUAAGUGGGACAACAAGGG
rnacentral:rRNA from 1 species